AGUUUGCACAUGUGCAGUGUAGAAGUUUGAUCAUCCGCCAUUUUCAACUGAGACUUGCAUGUGCUUAGUAUCCUGGAUAGGAUCUAUUGCCAUCUGAGGAUUAUUUGCUGACAAGGAUAGUCGGCAAAUACAAGCAAGACAUUACAAAACAUUACAAGAAAUAUGUAAGAAGGCAAAACCAAACCAAGAAUAUGUGUCCCAGCUAUUAGACCUUGAGUUUGAAGCCAGAAGAUCCUUCAUUGACUCAGACACCAUGAAAGAGGAGAACAGAGCUUGCCUCAUCUUGGAUGCAUAUCCAUGCUUUAAAGAAUUGCAUCAUGCGUUGGGUGAGCUUCGCAGAAUUUUGGAUCCCCACAACAACAAGUUCAUCAGUCAAGUAAAACUGAGAUGGGAAGAAUUCUGCUCCAGGGUAGAGUUCUACGGUGUGUCAAAGAAGGCAAUGAAUCCACCAAUGACCAUGGACAAAACUGAAGCCCACCUUGCACUGAUGAAGGCUCUUCCAACCCUCUUUCCCACACCUGCCCAUCCACCAAAAAAGAUGGGGAAUGCUUCUGAAGCAUUUCUACAUGUCCUGAAGCCUACAGAAGAUCCAGAUGCUGUCCUCCAGAAACGAAGCUUGUCAUGUCCAGUAAUGAUGUUCGAUGGCUGCAAGUGUGUCAUUGCUGUUGGUAAUUUACCAGUUACAACAUUUGACAAAGAAAAAAUUGGUGAGGCUAUGAUAUAUGUGAUGGCAUACUUUUAUGCACUCCAUCUGACUUACCCCAAAUGCGUGGCAACCCUGCUGUCUGUCAUUCAGACAGAAGUUCUCCAGGAUGCCAUUCAUGAGCAUGACACUACAUCAUCUUACAGAAAAGCCCUGGCAGAAUGGCAUGCAUUUAUUGGAAAGUAGUGUGUAAAUUUCAGAUAAGAUUAGGAGAGGGCACUUCUGUUUUGUUUUUGUUUGUUUUUUCAAUCUGGGUCUUAUUUCUAAAAUGGAAAAUGUUCAUUUACUCACCCAGACAAGUUUUGUGGUAUUUGGUGUCAUUCGGAAGAAAUUUGAAUCUUUGUGGUCUUCCUAUGUCACUCGUCAAUUUUAAUGGGGCAAUGGCGAAACCUCUAAGGCUGUUGAAAUGUUGAAACCACUUAAACAAACUCAUAAUGUUGGACCUGUACUGUUCAAUUGUAUCUUUAUUAUCUGCAGGUUAUUGUUAAAGUGGACAAAUAAAGAUGGACACUUUUACUCUGUUUCAGUUUUGUUUUGUCCUUAAUCAGCAAUAUAAUCUUAAAGUAGUGUUUAGCUAAAUUUAAAAAUGAU
ensembl:lncRNA